rnacentral:rRNA from 1 species
AUUGAACGCUGGCGGCAGGCCUAACACAUGCAAGUCGAACGAGUGGCGGACGGGUGAGUAAUGUCUGGGAAACUGCCUGAUGGAGGGGGUUAACUACUGGAAACGGUAGCUAAUACCGCAUACCAUCGAAUGCGACAUGAUGGGAUUGGCUAGUCGGUGGGGUAAAGGCUCACCAAGGCGACGAUCCCUAGCGGGUAUGAGAGGAUGACCAGCCAAACUGGAACUGAGACACGGUCCAGAUUCCAACGGGAGGCAGCAGUAGGGAAUAUUGCACAAUUGGCGCAAGCCGGAUGCAGCCAUGCCGCGUGUAUGAAGAAGGCAUUCGGGUUGUAAAGUACUUUCAGCGGGGAAGCGUUACCCGCAGAAGAAGCACCGGCUAACUCCGUGCCAGCAGCCGCGGUAAUUC